UUUAAUAAAUUUUCCUUGAUAUCUGAUUUUCAGCAUCAAGUGUAUUUAAAACACAUAGAACUUAGAAUGAAUGAAAUGGAAUAUGUGAAAGUAAAUCAGAAAGUUAAAAUACUAGAUUGUGAAAGACUAUAAAUACUAAGCUGAGGGGUUUAUAAUUUAUCCUAGAAUCAAUAGGGAGCUACUAAAAUUUAUUGAUCAGAGGAAUGACAUGUUCAUAGACAUUCAGAUUACAUGACAUGUUCAAAACUACAUUAAACAUACAGAUUACAUCUCUAAAGUAAGCUCCCUUUAAAAGGGAAAAAAGUAUACACUGAAAAAAUAAAACUGAUUAUAGACCAAACUCAAGCUUUGUGCAAAUCUAAUGAGCAGAAAAACCUGUUUGAUAUUUCUCCCAUAUUUAAUAUAUAUUGGACUACUUACCAUCUAGGGGAGUGCAUGGAGGAAGGGGAGUGGAAUUGGAACACAAGGUUUUGCAAGGACUAAUGUUAAUGAAUUGUCCAUGCAUGUUUUGAAAAAGAAAAAACUUUAAUGAAGGGGAAAAAAAAGUUUGGACCAGUAGAAUACAUAUCCAAAAGAACUUGCAAUUUUUACAUGAUUCAUAUUUUCUGAAGCACACAAAAGACAUGUUGGUAUUUCUUCAUGUUGACUAUAAUUGUUUUUUAAUGAUAAAAAGCAAAUCUUAAUUAAAGAGACUAAAACCUGGAUCAUUAUUUAUUCUCUGUUGUUAUCUUCAAUCUUCCUGGACCCUAGAGAAAGGGGUUUGCAGAUCUUCACCGAAGAUGCUAUAACUAGAGCUAUCUUGAGAUUAAUAAAUAUUUUUGGAAUUCCUUAAUCUAGUGAAAUUACAUAAUUCAUAUGCUCUCAAGAAUAUUUUCUUGUUUUUAACUUUUUUCUCUCAGAAUUAUCUAAAGGGGACUCUUGAUAAGGAUUAGACCUUUAGAAAAUCCCAAGGGGUCAUUUAAAACUCAGACAUAUAACCCAUCUAGGUAAACAAGCAUGCUGUUAUUUAGGUCAUGAAUAAAAUGUUGAUUUACAUACCACAGCUCUUCAUUACAUAAGACCCACUUUAAACAGUGAAACAAUUUUCCUGAAUUUUGUUUAACUGCAUUAUAACCACUACUGUAAUUAUAAAGAAAAAAUAUCCGGACAUCCUAGUGGGGGGAAAGGCAAAUGUUUUGCUUGCUUCUAAGUCUUUGUUCAUUGUCUUAUCAAAAGGAAUACCUGCUCUUUAUAUAGACAUAUAUACAAAAAGGACAGAUGGAUGGUUACUAAAGGCUGUAGGUUUCUUUCUUUUUUGUGUUAAACCUUUUGUUCUAUAGCUAAUUUAUUUAUAGUUUUAAAAGCCUAGAAGAUGGAAUGAAAAUAUGUAGAAAGUGGAGAGGCAUAUACAGAAAACUAAAGUUCAAAGAAGAGAGAUCACUUGGUCAGUCACACAGGUAAUAAGUACCAAAACCGAAAUUUAAACCCAGUUUGUCCCCCUCCCUCUCCAGAUCCAAUAUACUUUCUGUUCUAGCAAUUUGAUAAAAGGCAGAAAGAAUUUUAUGAAUAUAUAUGUAAUUUUUAUUCCUAAUCUCCCCAUUCAACCUUUCACUUUAUCUUUUGGGUUUAAAGAAAAAGUUAGAAGAGAAAGGGGACUUGCAGGCCUCCACAAGAAAAUGCUAGAACUCGAACUUCCUUCACAUCAAAUUAUCCAAAGGGGGACUCUUGGUAAGAACGAAAACUUUUGGAAAAUCUCAAGGGAUCAUUAAAAACCAGCCAUAUAGUAUAUAAAUAGUGGGUGGAUCCUGCUCAGCUUUUCCUGUGUUACUAAAAAAUCUUUUCACCCUCUGGGAUAAUGCUGUAAAGGAAUAGCUGGCCUUCUCUAAAACAAAAACACAUUUUUCAACUCAAAAUAUUUGAAAUCCUAUAUGCCUUACAUCUCAUACAAAAUAAAUAAUAUUUUGGGAGUAUUUAUGUUGUGUUCUAAAACCAAUAAUAAUGUUGUAGCAAAUCAGAGAAUAGAUAACUAGCAUAGCAAUGCGAUUUUUUUAAAUUAAUAUUUUAUUUUAUUUUAUAAUAACUUUAUAUUGACAGAAUCCAUGCCAGGAUAAUUUUUUUAUAACAUUAUCCCUUGCACUAGCUUCUGUUCCGAUUUUUCCCCUCCCUCCCUUCACCCCAUCCCCUAGAUGGCAAGCAGUUCUAUAUAUGUGAGAUAUGUCAUAGCAAUGCGAUUUUUUAAAAAAAUGGAUAAAAACAUGUAUAACCAAUAUCAGAUUGCUUAACAUUUCAAGGAGGGGAGAAGAGAAGAAGGGAGGGAAAGAAUUUGAAACUUAAAACUUAAAAAGAAAAAAAGAAUGUUAAAAUUAUUUUCAUAAAUAAUAUAUUUUUUAAAUGAACAGAGAAGUUUAUGAGACAAAUAGGCAUCUUGCUGAUGCCUGCUACUUUUCUUUUCAAGAUGUUCUCCCUAGCUAACUGCAAACAUCUCUAGAUCAGGACCAAGACUACAAACUUCUUUUCCUAUCUUUUUUCCAGAUCUUAGAUUUGUUUACCCUUUGAACCUAGGCUUGACUCCACUGGGCAUCCUGUUUAUUCUCUUUGUCCAUGACUUAAACUGUGACCUAAUUCUCAGUGGGGUGGAGUUCUUUCCUCUGGGCUACUUAAUUAUCCUCAAAUCAUCUGUUUGCUCUUUGGAGGGGAUGAAUUAGACUCACUGUAUAUAUAAUUGUUCUUAUACUAAAUUCAUCAAUGAUUAAGAAGGAUUACUUAUAAGAUUACUUAUAUGUCAUACUAUGGUGAAAUAUGAAGGGACCAUGGAGAUCAUCUACUUCAUACUCUUCAUUAAAUGAUGAAAUAGUUGAAACAAAUUCCAAAAUCAAUACUAUCUCUUUUAGCUGAGAAUUUACCACAGUUUGUCUUAGGAAAAGAAAAGAGAAUAAUUUAAAACAAAAAGAAACAAUUUAGGAGGAAGUUUGCUCUGAUAACUUUAAAUAAAAAUUAGUCUUUGUAAGUGAUGCUGUAGUCUCUUUAAGCAGUAGCUCACAAUUAAUCAGGUAACUUCUAGAUCUCUGAAACUAGAAGAGACCUUAGAAAUUAAUCCAAUCAAUUCCUUUUUGGUAUAUGAAGACGUAAGUAUAGGAAAGGAAAAUGACUUACCUAACAUAACAUAACUAGUUAAUAAAAAAGCCUUUAAAAAAUUCAGAUCUAGCUACCAGUCCAGCACUUUCCCCACUUCCUUUCUCAGUGAUUGAGCUAUUGCCCCAAACAGUCUAUGAUCAUGAAAUUCUAAUAAAUUGAACUAUGGUUUUAUGUUAUAAA